rnacentral:lncRNA from 1 species
CGCAUUGAUAAUCAAGUCGAAUCGUAUGUAGGUGACAGAGCUUUCUUGUGGAGGCAUUUGCAUCUCCAUCAAGUUCAAUCACCAGCUUUUAGAUGGAGCUGGGACCUGGAACUUUGUCAAGUCAUGGGCCGAGGUCUGUUGUGGUAAAUCUAUGUCACUCAAGCCCGUGGUCGUGGAAACUCCACCAUGCAUUGCGGUCUCGGACGAUCAUCCCACAGAUUUUGAGCUUCGAGCAGGGUUUGAAAGGGUCUGCAACGCGGAUUUACUGAAAGUAAGCACCAAGUCAACAUCGCAGUCCGCGGAGUAUGACAUGAAGUGCUUUGCAUUCAAGAAGGAGAUGAUCCAAAAGAUGAAGCUCGAGAAUCCAGGGUUCAGCUCGUUCCAGCUUCUCACGAGUUUCAUAUGGUCCAGAGUUAACGCUGCGAGAGAUCUCAAGGAUGACGAAACCACUACUCUUUUAUUUGCAGCAAACUGUAGAGGACGGAUCAAGACUGUGCCGAAGGGAUUCGUAGGAAUGGCCGUGGUGUAUGAUCACGUUUCCACCAAAGUCUCGAGCCUACGAGCUGAGGGAAAUGAGCUGAGAAAUGGGGCGGAUCUUCUCAAGAAAAAGAUCGGUGAUUUGCUCACGGAGGAAGGCGCGGGUCUCUACUCAAAGGUUGUGAGCAGUGGCGACAGGGGCUUCACAGCUUUUCCUCAAUCUAAGAGGGAAACAGCAUUGAUCGUUGGAAGUUCGUUCUACUUCCCGGUUUUCGAGGACUUUGGAUUUGGAAAGCCGGUUGGAAUGACGCUGGUUCGUCCUUCUGAGGAUAGCAAGCUAUACUAUUUCCCAGGGAAGGAGGAAGGUGAUGUGGUAGCAUAUAUUGGGCUCACAAGUCACGCGAUGAGAAAGCUUAGUUUUCCACAGGUUUGAAACAAUAUAAAGUUGUCUCUUUGCCCCUCACCGCGGGACGGCAUGGAAAUCAAGGCGAGGAUCUUCGAGACAGAUGUUUCUGAUGGUACCGUUAUUGUUGACAUGCACGGGAAGCUCCAGAUAAUGGAUCGGGCCACCGCGGCUUUUGGCUGGAUGAAAGAGACGAAUGCUGUCUCCUUGACUGCUAUGUUCCCAGAAUUUGCCCGGAAUGGGCAUUACAGAGGCGCUCUCGAGCUCCUCCAUGGAUUUGGAGGGAGUCAAGCCAAAUGGCUUGCCAUUUUUUUUUUCCUGGAAGCCUGCGCCGGUCCCGGGAAUAGAAUCUGCUGUAAAAUUUUCCACUCCCGAAAUCGAGGGAAUGGAGCUUAUGCGCUGGGGAAAUGCGGUCACGUUGCGCGAUGAUGGCGGCGUAUGCCCAAAACGGACAGCACAGGGAAGCGCUCCGAGUCUUUAGCGAGCUCGACACGAUGCUGGAUCGCGAGCGUCUUGGAGGCGUCCUCAAGUUUGGCCAUGGCUAGAAUCUCGGAUCCUUGCUAGUGGAAUUCGCGUGAGCGUGAUCGUGGUCGUCACCACUUACAGAAAGUGUGGAGCUCUCAGCCUCGCGAGAUCCACGUUCAAUGGCCUGUGCUGGAACACGAUGAUCUCCGCCAACGUGCAGCACGGCAACGCCAGGAAGUGCUCAAGCUCUUCAACGAGCUCAAACAAGCCGGGACUUUGAGCGAGCACUGCUGCAUGAUCGAUCUGCUGGGACGAGCUGGGGGAUUUGAAGAGGCUGAGAGAGUGGUUGCUCCAUGAAACGCAAUGUCCUCUCCUGAUCAUGAAUGUCGCCUCUCAAUCACCAAGUCCUGGAUAAAACCAGGGCAUGGCAUUUCGUAGUUCGAUAUAAGCUGCGGCAAAUCCCCGUCACUUGUGGUCGUGGAAACUCCCCUGGACAACGAGCAGAGCUGGAGAUUUAGCUCCCGCCGAUUUUUCAUGCGGUGGAAGAUUAGAACUUGUUCACACUAUCAACGCCAUGAAAAGCUUCUCGUUUGCCCAGGAGUGAGAUUCCACGGCAAAGAGAUGGAAGACCCCGUUCUUCUCAGUCAAGUGCUGUGAAAGCUCUCCAACGCUGGAAACUAUGACUCUCAGUUGGAGAUGUACGCUUUCUCAUGACAUGAGGAGGAGUUGCCACCUCAUAGAUCCACGUUGGCUGGAGUUGAGUAGAUCAGAGCCACAUUGUCCACACGACGCUUCCGCUAUGUUUUGACACUCUCGAGACUGUCAUGUUCAGGACGGCCUCCAUAGACAUGCAAGCCACCUCUAUAUGAGCCAUGACUACAGCGCUCUAGGCUCGCCGUCAUAGAUUUUGUUUUAGUGCAGACAGGGUGUGACUGGCGGAGUCUUCUAGAUCCUUUUGGGUAUGUCCUUGAGAGCGUUCCUGGCUGAAAGAUCCAGCUCUCUCUCCUCGCCACCGAGGCACUGGCGAUAGCUUCGAAGGUAGUAAACGCAGCUGCGAUUGCAAGAGCAGUCAUCGUCACCGAAGCAGUAGUGGACACUCUCCUCUCGAGCUGCUGUUUGGACUGAGAAAAUGAGGAAGAUCGCCAUCGAGAUCUUCAUCUUCGCCAUUCCUGGUGGAAACCUUAAACGAGAGCACGAAACUCUCGAAGUUCACACUGCCUGGUCCUUAGAAACUCUCGAAUCGAAAUGAAAGAACAAACACUCUUUACUUUUAUGGUGUAUCCACCACAUCCAAGCACCGAGAACCUUUCACGUGUUCCAGCGAUUCAAUACUCUUCCAGCAGUGUAAUCGUCUUCCAGCUCAAGCAGACACAUGACAGGUGCUGCAAGAAGACAAAAGAAAACGAUGUGUCACACUAUAAUCUUCUAUGCUAGCUCCACGUUGUUCCUGAUAAGUUUGCGAUGGAUAGAGCACCGUAGCUCUGCUGCUGCUAAUCCAUUCCCUGCAUAUUUGGAGGCAGGUUCGAAAACAGAAGAUAAGCUGAAGCUUGAGAUUGCUAACCCCACUUAUUGCAUUAAUGGCUUCAAUUGAUAUUUGUAACUAAAUUUAAGACACAAUAGUUUUAUAUUAGAAAAUUAUAAAUUCUUAUUUAAAUAAUUUAUAAUAGUUAUAAACAAAAAAAAUGUAGUUUUGACCAGAAAAUAUGUAAUUGUUAUGUUUAGUUCUUAUUUAUGACUAAAUUUUAAGUCCAAAAAACAAAGUUAUAAACAUAGUGGUAAAGAUGGGAAUUUAAGUCAUUAUUUAUGAUGAUAUUUAAAAAUAAACAGUUUUCUAACCAAUAUACAUUUUUUCCUAUUUUAGAAGCUUAAAGGUGCUCUUGAUAAAUACUAUCUAGGUCGUGGUGAAUGAAUGCAAGUAUAUUUUUUUUAUGUCAGUUUUAUUACUUUAUAUUAUUUGUUGUUUCAUAUUUGCUAGCUUUUCUUAUAAGAGAAUGCAUACAAUCACCCACAGCAAUGGAAUUUACAAGGAACUCAUCAAUCUUCAGCAUUUCCUUUAUAAAACGUUCAUGGUAAUGGAUUUAAAUGAACAUUUUCCUUUGGUUUCUCUCAUUUGUCAUUACUCUGUGUUAUCAAAAAUGGAUACAACCACCUUCUUUAUUUUCCUAAGCCAAGCCCAAUCUUUAGCCCAUUCAGGGUAUAAUACUCUUAAUGCUUUUCGCAGCUCCAAAUUUUCCUCCAAGAAGAAUUUAUAAGAUAGGUAAAACCCUAAAAUCACCAGGGAGAAAACUAAAGGCGUAGGAUAUACUCUACAUUUAAUUAAUGUUUCCUUAUCACCUUGAUUAAGUUUGGUCGAGCCUUCUCUCUCUCUCUUCUAAAGUCAGAAGUUUUUGGCUAUGGCGCUGGAGUCUUCCAGGAUCACAGUAACCAACAUUUGCUUGGUUUCUCCAAGUUACAGCCCGGAGAAUGUCGAUCUGUUGGAGAGGAAGAAGCAAAUGCGUCUCUGUGCUGCUUCUCAUAUGAUUUGGUUCGUGCCUUACAGGACUCGCCUUCUCUUCUUCCGAAAGCCUCCUCCCCAUCUCUCCUUCGAGGCCAUUGUAGCAAAUCUCAAGAGUUCUCUUGCCAAGGCGCUGGUGGAGUUUUAUCCCCUGGCAGGGAGAUUGCUUGUGAGUGACAGCGAGAAUGGACUCCGGAUGGAUGUGGUUUGCAAUGACAAAGGCGUGCUCUUCAUUGAAGCCAGUGCUACUGGAGUUACUGUUGAGGAGCUCGCAAAGGAUGAAGUGAGUGGUCAUUUCGAGGGGAUUCCAGCAAAACUAGUGGAAGAUCUGGCACAAUGUGGAGACUACGAUAUAUCGACAAUUCCAUGGUCCUUCGAUGCUCCUCUGUUCAUCAUCCAGGUACUUCAAUAUAUAUCCGCAUUGAUAAUCAAGUCGAAUCGUAUGUAGGUGACAGAGCUUUCUUGUGGAGGCAUUUGCAUCUCCGUCAAGUUCAAUCACCAGCUUUUAGAUGGAGCUGGGACCUGGAACUUUGUCAAGUCAUGGGCCGAGGUCUGUUGUGGUAAAUCUAUGUCACUCAAGCCCGUGGUCGUGGAAACUCCACCAUGCAUUGCGGUCUCGGAC